rnacentral:lncRNA from 1 species
UGUCUCCUUCUAAAGAGCGCCUUUUCUGCCACGCUCUUCUGCGGGAGAACGCCCCGUUCGUAAAAAGAAAAAGAACGAAGAUUGGCCACGAAAAGGCGCAGCGCAGAAA